AGUACGCCGAACGCGUAAUGAAGUAAUGGGAAUUCACCAAGGACUAAAGCAAGGAUGUCUUCUGUCUCCAUUGUUCUUCAUGCUUUAUGUUAAGGGCAUAAAAA
rnacentral:lncRNA from 1 species